CCAGGAGACUGAAGGCAGGACACAUUCAGAAACCAUAUCUCACUCAGAACACCAUGGAUGACACCUCUCUGGAAAACAUCUGUCAUGCUUAUCAGUGGGGCCUCGAGACAAGUAGCGGGCUGGACCUUUUGGAUGACUGCCACACACCACAGGGUCAGGACCAGACCGGGAGAGAUUGCUUUGUUGAUUCUUUACGUUACGAGCAACGGGCUGCUGGUAGCCGAGCAGACUG